GGUUCGUGGCUCAGUGGUAGAGCACUCGCCUCACAUGUGUGAGGCACUGGGUUCUAUUCUCAGCACUG
rnacentral:tRNA from 1 species